UUUGCUUUAGAACUUUGAACUUUCCCCUUUUCUAAAACUAUUCCUUGGGUCUAAGGAAGGCACUUGCGAAAAGUGCAUUUUCUUUUAAAGGUUUUUAUUUAUUAGAGAGAGAGAGAGAGAGAGAGAGAGAGGGAGGGAGCACACAAGUGGGAAGGAGAGGAAGAAGCAGACUCCCUGUGAGCAAGGAGCCUGAUGCAGGACUCGAUCCCAGGACCCUGGGAUCACCACCUGAGCCAAAGGCCGACAUGCAACCAACCGAGCCGCCCAGGCGCCCUGAAAAGUGCAUUUUCUGAUUAUCAUGUCUCAGAUUCCCAUUUAGAAGCAGGAGUUUUCUAAUUUACAAUUCUCUUUCAUUUCUCUUGAACCCUUUCUAGAAUCCGCUGGCCAGUGGGCUCCAUGGACUCCAACAAGAGAAUCAGGGCACAGCCUUUGGGAGAAAUGAUGCCAUUAUCUUUUUUUUUUUUUUAAGAUUUUUUUAUUUACUUAUUCAUAGAGACAGAGAGAGAGGCAGAGACACAGGCAGAGGGAGAAGCAGGCUCCAUACAGAGAGCCUGACGCGGGACUCGAUCCAGGGUCUCCAGGAUCCCGCCCUGGGCUGCAGGCAGCGCCAAACCGCUGCGCCACGGGGGCUGCCCCUGAUGCUAUUAUCUUACAGGAGGGUAACUUUCCCGUGGGGGACCUCCCCCAACACUGAAUCUCGGCUUCCCUUUUGCAAAACCAUACCCUAAAUGUUUCAUUUUUUAAAAAAAUUAAGAUUAGCAACAUUCAGCACUCCCCCCUCCUUAUGCCUGUUCUUACCCUAUUCCUGUUGUAUGUGAACUUGUUUUUCUUAUUAUGAGACAGCUGAGAAUAUCAAUUCAAAUAACCUAUCAAUGUCAUUCUAAAAUCAUAAGUUCUACACUAUUAGACUACAUUGACUUGCACCAUUUAGAAAACACCAUUUUGGGGGAGAAUAUAUUUGUUAUGACUGAAUAAAUACGUGUCCUUAGUGUAGUCUCACUGUACAGAGAUGUCACUCCCCUACGUAAAAUCUUCCAGCAACUCUCCACCGUAUUUAGAAUAAAAUCCAAAAUUUCCUCAUCAUUUACAGGGCCUUGGUGAUGUGGCCUCUCCCCACCUCUCAGACCUCAGCUCCUCCCACAUAUGCUCCAGCCAGAAGCCUCUGUUCUCCCCCAACACACCAACCCCGUUCCCACCUGAGGCCUUUGCACUUGCUAAUUCUCUCUGCCCGCCACAUGGCGAUCUAGACCCUCAAGGGACUUGCCUUUUUCUCCUCAUUGAGGUCACAUCUCAUUCCAAACCCAGUGGAUUCUAUAUCCUAAAAAUUUCUUGAAUACCUAAUUUUGCCUUUGAACCCAAAGAAUCUUUGCCACAGCCCUUGGCUCACAUUUUCAUCGUGGUUCCACGAUACGGUGGAACCUACACUGUACUCCUAUUGUCCUCCUCAUAGGCCAUUUUCCUUCAUACUUCCUCACCUUCUGCAGGUAUCUUCUCUGCCUGACAUUUUUUCCCUCUUCUUUACCUGGUUAGCGUACACGCUUAAGACCUAGCUCAAAUGCCAUCUCCUCCCAAAAACCUCUCUUGAUCUGUCCCCCACUCCGAGUUAACUGAGUCUAAUGUAUUCUCUGUGGCGUUAUACUAGUCAUGCUAACUUGUCCAAAUGCCCUACACGACAGAGAGCGAACCAAACCCCACGCUUCCCACCAAUUGUACAUAUGGGGGUAACGCAGAAGUGGAUGACCCUCAGGGAUUACAUUUUCCAGCCUCCCCUGCAUCUCGGGGUGGCCACACGGUUAGAUCCUGCCAAUGGAAUGUGAAAAGAAGUGAGACAUUCUACUUCCAGGGCUGAGGCCUUUAAGAAGCAGACCUACCUCCUCCUGUCUCUGUCCUUCAGGCUUGAUGCAGGUGACAGCAAGGACUUCUGGAUGGUGGAGCCACAAGAUGGACGGACCUGGCCUUCAAACUGGAACACCUGGCCUUGACAGUUAUGGCAGAAAUAAACAACUUCCAGGAAUCUCCAACUUAUUUUGUUGUAAAGAAAGUUGUUAAGAAAAAUACAAUAACCAGGGAUCCCUGGGUGGGCAGAGUGUAAUUUAUUAUUGCUUAUAUUCAUUAUUCAUUAACUAUAUAUUUAUUUUUUUAAAAAAUCUUUUAUUUAUUUAUUCAUGAGAG
rnacentral:lncRNA from 1 species